GGCGGCGGCGUGCUAUACAUGCAGUCGACGCUUUUUCUUUCACCGGAGCUUGCUCCACCGAAAGAAAAAGAGUGGCGAACGGGUGAGUAACACGUGGGUAACCUGCCCAUCAGAAGGGGAUAACACUUGGAAACAGGUGCUAAUACCGUAUAACACUAUUUUCCGCAUGGAAGAAAGUUGAAAGGCGCUUUUGCGUCACUGAUGGAUGGACCCGCGGUGCAUUAGCUAGUUGGUGAGGUAACGGCUCACCAAGGCAACGAUGCAUAGCCGACCUGAGAGGGUGAUCGGCCACACUGGGACUGAGACACGGCCCAGACUCCUACGGGAGGCAGCAGUAGGGAAUCUUCGGCAAUGGACGAAAGUCUGACCGAGCAACGCCGCGUGAGUGAAGAAGGUUUUCGGAUCGUAAAACUCUGUUGUUAGAGAAGAACAAGGAUGAGAGUAAAAUGUUCAUCCCUUGACGGUAUCUAACCAGAAAGCCACGGCUAACUACGUGCCAGCAGCCGCGGUAAUACGUAGGUGGCAAGCGUUGUCCGGAUUUAUUGGGCGUAAAGCGAGCGCAGGCGGUUUCUUAAGUCUGAUGUGAAAGCCCCCGGCUCAACCGGGGAGGGUCAUUGGAAACUGGGAGACUUGAGUGCAGAAGAGGAGAGUGGAAUUCCAUGUGUAGCGGUGAAAUGCGUAGAUAUAUGGAGGAACACCAGUGGCGAAGGCGGCUCUCUGGUCUGUAACUGACGCUGAGGCUCGAAAGCGUGGGGAGCGAACAGGAUUAGAUACCCUGGUAGUCCACGCCGUAAACGAUGAGUGCUAAGUGUUGGAGGGUUUCCGCCCUUCAGUGCUGCAGCAAACGCAUUAAGCACUCCGCCUGGGGAGUACGACCGCAAGGUUGAAACUCAAAGGAAUUGACGGGGGCCCGCACAAGCGGUGGAGCAUGUGGUUUAAUUCGAAGCAACGCGAAGAACCUUACCAGGUCUUGACAUCCUUUGACCACUCUAGAGAUAGAGCUUCCCCUUCGGGGGCAAAGUGACAGGUGGUGCAUGGUUGUCGUCAGCUCGUGUCGGGAGAUGUUGGGUUAAGUCCCGCAACGAGCGCAACCCUUAUUGUUAGUUGCCAUCAUUUAGUUGGGCCCCUAGCGAGACUGGCCGGUGACAAACCGGAGGAAGGGGGGGAUGACG
rnacentral:rRNA from 1 species